UACGUAGGGGGCUAGCGUUGUCCGGAAUCAUUGGGCGUAAAGCGCGUGUAGGCGGUCCGGUAAGUCCGCUGUGAAAGUCGGGGGCUCAACCCUCGGAUGCCGGUGGAUACUGUCGGGCUUGAGUACGGAAGAGGCGAGUGGAAUUCCUGGUGUAGCGGUGAAAUGCGCAGAUAUCAGGAGGAACACCAGUGGCGAAGGCGGUGCUCUGGGCCGGAACUGACGCUGAGGAGCGAAAGCGUGGGGAGCAAACAGG
rnacentral:rRNA from 1 species